GUCCACGCUGUAAACGAUGAAUACUAGGUGUGCGGGGACUGACCCCCUGCGUGCCGCAGUUAACACAAUAAGUAUUCCACCUGGGGAGUACGAUCGCAAGGUUGAAACUCAAAGGAAUUGACGGGGGCCCGCACAAGCGGUGGAUUAUGUGGUUUAAUUCGACGCAACGCGAAGAACCUUACCAGGGCUUGACAUCCUACUAACGAAGUAGAGAUACAUCAGGUGCCCUUGGGGAAAGUAGAGACAGGUGGUGCAUGGUUGUCGU
rnacentral:rRNA from 1 species